GCCUGCAGGAAGCUCCAUUUCUCCCACAGGAGGUAGCUGGAGGAGAUGAAAUAUUUUUGUAUACUUGAAAUGUUAUCGUAUGAAAUUAUAACUGAUUUCUCGUUCCAUAGAUACUUUACUGAUUUUUAAUAUCUGCAGUAUUUGGCUUGAGUGCUUAUGAUGUCACAGCCUCUCCUGAAAAGAAGUACAUGAGUUCAGAUAGCAAUCAUUCCUCUCUGGUAACAUUAAGGGAAUAUGGGCCUAAAAAUCCAAGAAUUUCAAGGAAGAGAUGACUAAGGAUGCGACCUAUUAAAUAUUCUGCAAAUUUCAGUGUAUUUCACUGAGAAAUUUGGCUUAAUUUCACCCUUCCUUGCUAUCUAUACCACUUCAGUAAAUUCUGAACUAUUGAAUUAUCCCAUCAAAGUACUUCUUAUUUGACUAAUGUAAAUGAUAACUAGUAGGUAUUAUCAAAAGUUAAUAUUCAAAACAACUUGUGAAAUGUUUGCAUUUUGCCUGUUUUCCUUCUACUCCUUAUUAUUGUUGCUUUUCAUUAGAGUAGCAUACUUUGUUGCUG